rnacentral:rRNA from 1 species
UACGUAGGGUGCGAGCGUUGUCCGGAAUUAUUGGGCGUAAAGAGCUUGUAGGCGGUUUGUCGCGUCUGCUGUGAAAAUCCGGGGCUCAACCCCGGACUUGCAGUGGGUACGGGCAGACUAGAGUGUGGUAGGGGAGACUGGAAUUCCUGGUGUAGCGGUGGAAUGCGCAGAUAUCAGGAGGAACACCUGCGGCGAAGGCGGGUUGCUGGGCUGAUACUGACGCUGAGGCGCGAAAGCCAGGGGAGCGAACGGG